rnacentral:miRNA from 1 species
GACGUCGAAUAUCGACGUCAUAAACACAAAAGUUGGUCGUGUUUAUGUCUUCGAAUAUCGACAUCAUAAACACCAAAGUUGAUCGUGUUUAUGACGUCGAAUAUCGACGUUAUAAACAACAAAGUUGAUCGUGUUUAUGACGUCGAAUAUCGACGUU